AUUUCUUGGGCCGCUCCCACGGCAUAUGAAGGUUCCCAGGCUAGGGGUCCAAUCGGAGCUGUAGCCACCAGCCUAUACCAGAGCCACAGCAACGCAAGAUCCGAGCCAUGUCUGCAACCUACACCACAGCUCAGGCAACGCCAGAUCGUUAACCCACUGAGUAAGGGCAGGGACCAAACCCGCAACCUCAUGGUUCCUAGUCGGAUUCGUUAACCACUGCACCACAACGGGAACUCCUCGAUAGUAAGCAGCCUGAAAACAGGGCUUUUGAGUCUUCUGUAUUUACUGAACCUCAUUCCAUGUCAACAUCUAAUAGAGUUCAUUAAUAUGGCUGGAGCUGACCCAAAGUUUGUUGAGAACAUCACAUGCUACCCUUAAGAUCUGAACAUGUCAUUGUGUGCAAAUUUACCUUCCAAAGGAAAAAAGAAUAGUAAACAAUAUUUGUGCUCUAGUUAAUGAUAUGCACACUGUAGUAUUUAGGAAAGUGUACUAAUGGCUACAACUUAUUUUGAAAUGCAUCGAAAAAAUUAGAUGGAUGUGGGGGUAGAAAGGUAGAGAGAUUGUUAUCUGCAAAGGCAAGGAGAGUAAAAUGGCAGAAUCAAAGUGAUGGAUAUAUGGAUAUUUAGUGCAAAAAUUAUUUCAACUUUUCUAUAUAUUUGUAACUUUUCAUAGUAAAGUAUGAAAAAUUAGUUGAAAGUAAUAACUAAAAAUUUAUAUUAACAAAAUGAUUAAGAUUAUACUUAUUCUACUUUUGGUUUUAUGUAUCUGAGCUUUCAGGAAAUCUUCUAAUCCUUACAUAGGUUUAGUCUAUUGACAUAUGACUUUGAAAAUUGCCCUAGCUUCCUGUUGGCUUUAUCAAUUAGAGUUUUAACUGUAGUCACCUAUAUUUUCUAAAUAAUGGCUAUAUCUCUGAUAAAGUUUCCUGAUCUAUAUAAUUCAGAAAACAAAGUUCAGAUACUAAAUCAUUAUUAAAAUUGAGUGUUUCGUGAUACUUGGCGAUAAUUAUAAAAAUAAUUACUUAUUACUUUGGGGGCAGUAACCUCUUAUCUUAGCACUUGAUCAUGAAUCAGUAAAAAGUACAAUCAACUGAAUACAGCAAGAGUUUCUCCCCUACUCUUUUUUCUCUCCCUUCCCCCACCGUCCCAUCCCCCACUUCCUCAACUUUUUUUUUUCUGAUGAAGAGGAACUGCAGGAGGUAGGUAAGCAUGGCAUUCAAAUUAGAGGGGAAAUUAUCAAUAUUAAUACAAGAUUAAAAUUCUAUAGCUAGAUUUGUCUUCUUUUAGCAUGAAAUUUCUAAAAACCUGAAGCACUCCUGUGCUACUGUAUAACCUAAAGAUGAACAAUUUUUCUCAAUUUGUCAACUUUCAGUUUUCACCUUUUAAGUUCUAGACAAUUUAUUUUAAUGUACUGCUUUUGUGACUGAUUUCAACAGAAAAAAACUGUUCCUUAAUUUUUCUUUUAAAAACAAUAGCAUGCACAGAGUUCUCUGGUGGCCUAGUAGUUAAGAAUCUAGCAUUGUCACUGCUGUGACGCGGGUUUCAUCCCUAUCUUGGAUACUUUCACAUGCUCCAUGUAUGGCCAAAGAAUAAAUAAAUAAAACAAAAUGGAGUUCCCAUUGUGGCGCAGCAGAAACUAAUCUGACUAGUAUCCAUGAGGAUGCAGGUUUGAUCCCUGGACUCACUCAGCGGGUCAGGGAUCCAGGACUGACGUAAGCUGUGGUAUAGGUCGAAGACAUGGCUUGGAUCCAGAAUUGCUGUGGCUGUGGCAUAGGCCAGCAGCUGCAGCUCCAAUUUGACCCCUAGACUGGGAAUUUUCAUAUGCUGCAGGAGUGGCCCUAAAAAAAGCAAAAAAAAAAAAAAUAAUAAUAAUAAUAAAGUAAAAUAAAAUGGUCUGUUUCUACCUUUAAAAAAAAAUGCAUUUUAUCACAUGAACACUUUUUUUACUCUAGGAAAAAUGAAUGGAAUGUCUAUCUGGAGCAUACUUUUAACAUUCAGUUUAUAUUGCUGACAAUUGAUAUUUUGGAGACUUGAAGUGGCCGCACAAAAGUAGGCCUGCUUCAACUGGGCUAACCUUUGGGUAAUGAUUGAAGACAAUAGAAGCUUUAAGUUUUUAAAAGGCCUGUCCAAGUGUCGAGAAAUGUGAGAAAUGGGUUCAGAGCUGUGUGGACAUGAAUAGGUUGCAUGAAUUUUGACGCAGUCUUAUAGGAACACAUUGGAAGAUCUGGCAUCCUUAAAAUUGAGCAUAUGUCAUAUCAACAUUCCUAGUACAAGUAUUUUGUUACUGCUUCUCUGCUCUAAAUAGCUCUGUGCAAAGGCACAUCAGCGAACCAAAACACAUGGAAAUGGCUGUUCAGUGAUGUUGAGCUAUGCUACAGUAUCAAUUUGCUGCUGCCUUACCUUUUCCUACACAUUUGCCAAUAGAAACUUCUACUCCAGCAAAAAAAAAAGAGAAGUAAAUGAAUGAGGGCAGGUUCCAUUUCUCAAGACAUAUCAAUAUGAACCAGUGGUAUUGUCUGUUUCCUGAGACUACUGAAUCAAAAAAUAUAUGCACCUCUGCCUUAAGGAAGAAGCAACUCUUUACAUCGCCCUUUAUAUUUACAAUUACUUAAUUACUUUAUUUUGCCAAAAGUAAAGGUCAUUAGAAUCAUCUCGAAGCUUGACUUACAUUUCAGAAGUAGCCUGCAAGUUGUACAAUCUUUAACUAUGUUCCAUUUAAUACAUUUAAUAGAUGUAAAAACUCACAAGUGAUGAUAUAAAGGAUAAUUUGCGCUUGCAAUGCAUUUUUGUCCAAUUAAUAGAUUGCCUCUGUGUUGCAUAUUUUGCAUGACAAAAGAGCAGAAUAUUAAACUGCCAUUCAUAAUGAAAAUGCACUUUGCAAAUUAAAAGUGCCGAAACAGAAAUUUUUCACCCUGUUUAGGAAAUAAACAGUCCUUAACCAAUUAAACUGCAUUGUAAUAAUUCUAUGAUUUAUUGCAAGUUGUUUAACUUUCAAAACUCGGCUAACCCAUAUUAAGGUCACAAUCCAUCAUGUCUUGCUUGGAAAGCCAGCAAAUAAUGGCUGUUGUAUUAGCUGCUUUUGAUGAUAGUAUGAAAGAAGUAUUAGCACUUGUCAACAAAACUGCUUACAACAUAACAUUAGCAUGCAUGGGCUGCUGUACCUAUUUAUUAUUCUGGCAGCUUCACACAUAUUGUUACAAGCUUAUAAAACAUUUUGUCGGGUGGAAACCGAAUGUACACUGUUUGGUUUUCUGAUAGACUGGCAGCAUAAAUGUCUGGGCUGACUUAGUUUAGUUUAAGUGUAAAUAGAGACACAAAUUCUUCAACCUGUUCUCUUAUUGAUACUGAAAAGUGCUGAAUUAUUCAGCAUCCAACUCUUCUGUUUGUGUCUAUCACAGUUAUCAAUUACCCAUCAGUCUUCUUGUCAAAACAGAAUGGAUUAAUCUGGCUGAAAAUAAGACAAAUAAAUGGAUACUAUAACAGGGGUGUGGGGUUGCCAGACUGUCAAAGGGAAAUCCAGGCAGUGACAUUUGCCGUCAAAAAUGGGAUCUCUGGCUUAAGUGAGCAAAUGAUUCCCCUUUGUGAGCCAAGAAUGCACUUAGCUCACCGUAAGUAAAUCAAUCUGCCUUCUUUGACUGCUAAUGCAUUAGCACUGAGGUAAUAGUACAGUUUCUAAAAUUCCUUCAUGUUUAAAUAAUUUUGGUCAUUGUUAUUGUCUCUCACAGGAAAUGCAGAUGCAUUCAGAUAUUUUAUCUUGAUAAAGAGAGGGUUGCCGGGUAAGGAAAUGGAUCCAUUCAACAAUGAACUUAUUGCUGAUAGUUUUGUGCCACUUUGUAGGUUUCAGCUGAUGUGAUACCAAGUAACUCUUUGCACAGAUGGCUGGUGGAACCCAUCCAGCAUCUGCAAAGUCCAUCCCUGUUUUCUUUCCCAAACAUUUUAUUUGGAAAUCUUGUUUGGCAAACUUCCCGAGACUCUGCCUCACUGUUCAAAGUACAUAUUUCCAAUCUAUCUCAUUUGGCCCGUCCAUAAAAAAAGAGCCUGCAAAGUGCCUUCUUAUUUGGCACAAAAAUUACAGCCACAGACUGAAGCAAGUUUUAGGUUCCUAGCCAAAAAUUUACAAGAAUUUUAUCUUAGAUGCUUCCAUGCUGGACUGUUUUACAUAGUCAUCGUUAACAUCUGAAGUCUUCACAUCAUGACAGGAUCAAAGCUCCUCAGUCUGUAUCAACUGAUAGCUUAACUUUAGCAAAAGUUCCCUCUCAUUCCUGUUUUCAUUUGUAUCCAAACCAUUGUGGACAUGGCUCUUACUUGGACUAUAGUGUGAUGAGUUAUUUAAAGAGAGCUACCUGCUGAAAAAUGCUCUAUCCAUUUGAUGAUGAAUGAACAGAUUACUUUUGAAUGAAUCAUCAUCUUUUUUUUCUUUUUCCUGUAGAUCAUGUAACUAAUUUAAAGCAUUUAAAAAGCAAAGCCAAAACCCCUUCCUAUAUCUGGGCAGUCUGAAAGAGGUCAUACUAAAAAUUAAAUUCCAGGUACAACUGUCACAGUUCUCUUAAAGACUUUGACAGACUGGAAAUUUCAGUCUCACAUUCCCAGAAUGUUACCUCAAAUUUCUCUUCAAUGUAAAUCAGUUUCCCAGAACUUCAGCAUUAAAAGGAAAUGCACUAACUGGCUUGGUCACAACUCAUCUUUGCUAAAUUUCAUUUGUUUGGUAUAUAAUCCCAAAACUGCCUCAUGGAAGGCAGCUGUUUAAAAUGUGUAAACACUGAACUUGUCUUGAAAAGGUGGUAUUUUUUUUAAUCAGUAAAUUUACUAUCUUAACUUUGUCUCUCUUGACCUUUUGUUUUUAAGUAACUAACUCGUAAACGGAAAGGUAGCAUUGUAUGGUUUUGCAUGGCCUCAGAAUAUUUUCAAAGCUUUAACUUUUAAAAAAAAAUUACUUGCAAUACAGCUAUGUAUCAUGACCUUAUUUCCAAAUUCCAGAUGCCAUUUUCCAUUCUUAGAGGAACUUUUCAAAAUACAUGCCUGCUAUUUGAGAUCCAGCUUAGUCAAGUCUCUCCCAGUGGUUCCCUUUUUACCAAAAUCCCAGUCAGUGGCCAAGUCCUGCAGAGUGUGCCUUUACAAUGUCUCUUCUUAUAUUCUCCCUUCAACUACCACCACCACCGUGCUUUUGCAAUCCCCACCAAUUCAUUCAUACAUUCAAGCAUGCACCAAUUCAUUUCUUCAGCAAUUCUUUGAGUGCCUAACAUGAGUGGUCUGUCUGCUUCUGUCUUUCUAAUACCACUCUCACUGUGGCUUUCUGUCCUCAGCCUGAAAUGACCCCUCUGUCAUCCUACUAUCCUUUAAAUCUGAGUUCAAACGCAGCCUCUUUGUACAUUUUUCUUAUUCCUUCAACCACGUGUUAUUUCUUACUUCUUCAAGUCUCUUGAGCAUUUUUCUAUUUCCUUUAUUACAAUGUGGGAGAAUUCCUAUCUCAGUUACUAUGUGAGGCAAGUUACAUACCCAACUGAAGCCUCAGUUUCUUCUCUACAAUUGGAGAUAUUAUUCCAUAGGGUAUGAGGUUAAAGGAGACUAACGCCUGUCAAAUACUUAGGACAAUGCCUGUGAAGAGUCAAAUUCUUACUUGUUAUAUUAUUGAAUGAGUAAUUUACAAAUGUCUACAUUACGCAUAUCUCCUGUAAUAUUUGUGUGUUGAGAGGUAACACUUGUAAUUGCUUUUGAUGUUUCUGAGGAGCUUAAAACUACAUUUACCUACUAUCCCAGGUAGUGGGCCCGGGCAUCGAAUUCUGGGCCGAGCACUCUGGACCCAGCUACCUGUCUUCAUUUACUGGCCGUUACCAAUUACUAGCUCAGUUUU
rnacentral:lncRNA from 1 species